GGGGGCGAGGAGCUGCUGUGAUCCCUCGCCAGUUGUUGUUUGUGUUUGUUUUGCUGUUUGUUUUUUAAAUGAAAUCUGGGUUUCAUUGUACUGUGUUAUUGGAGGGAAGGGGUGGCCCCCCCCCCCCAGCCAUCCAUCUAAAAUCAAUGCUCCCCCCUUUUCAUCCAUCCCCUGCUUUCCCCGGUUGGUCAUAUCGCCUGUACUGGCCACAGCUGGCAAUGGAGCUGUUUGGAUUUGGGGUUUUUUUGUUUUUGUUUUUAUACAAUGAAAGUAAAGGCAUCACAGACUUCACCUCUGCUGCCUCUGUCUUGUUUUCCCCACACCCGCACCUGGACCUUGCUUCUGUAGGCAAGCUGCUCCCUCCCAGAGAUGGGUCUGGGAGCUGUAAUGGCCGUACCUGCAGUUGCCCUGUGCUUCAUGAGGAGUGGUCUUUAUUUAUUUUUAUUUUUUUUAUUUUAUUUUUUUUAAAUACGUGUUCUUCAACUGGAGAAUUUCUGUGAAAGCCACAAAGUGGUGAAUUCCUCUCCGUGAAUAAGGUGCCAAGCUCCUGGCUGUCCUUGCCCCUGACAGAUUGUUGUGGCUCCCAUGAGCUCAGCUGCUUGCUGCUCAUCCUUUUUUCCUUUCUCCUUAAGUAAACAGAAAGCUGCUGUUUUGAAUCCUCCUGGAGGAAAAAGAGACUUGUAAGACCUCAUUUAAUGGAAAAAAGAAGGGGAAAUACGCCCUCUGCUGCCCCAUCUCAGUAGAGGCUGCUUGGGAAGUGAAACAGGCUGCAUCUAUCUGGUGACUUCUUUUACUCCACAGAGAACCUCACUAAUCGUCUGGUUUGCUGCUUGUAGUUUGGGUCAGAUUGCUGCCAUCUAGGAACAUCUAUCUCCUGAAUAACAUGAGCAAUUUUCCAAGCUAACAGAUGAACACAGGGCUCAAACCACUCUCCUGUAGUUGCGAUAUCAGUGUCCAAAACCACAGUCGUUUAAGAGGGCCCUACGGUGCAAGGUCCACUGAAAACCAGUCCCAGCCCCUAAGAGCUUGCUGACACUUGGCAUCGUGGUUGGCAGUGUUCUCAGCACAUCAGUAGCCAAAAGGAUGUACUCUACAAACAUCACAGGAAAGGAUGGACUGGCAAGACAAAGAAGGGGCUCGUACUAAACCUUGGGGGGAGUAUAGAUCCUGAUUUUAAAUCUAAGUGACCAGCGAAGACUGAUAUUGCUGGAGGUAGCAGUUGACCUGAAUGAAAAUUGAUUGGUAUUAAAAGCAAAGACAAGUAGCUUAGGCUUGUGAUAGAAGAGGGAGCCGGUGAAGAGCUGAAAUGAUGAAGUGAUCUAGUCAGAGCAAUUGGUUAGAAGAACUCUUUGUAGCAGCAGGCUGAAUAAUAUUAGCAGGGCAAGAUGAGACCAAAGGAAAAUGUGGCCACCCUGCAAGAUGAUGAGAACCUGGACAAGAGUGAACAUAACUGAAACAACCUGGAUAUGAAGAGCUAGAGUAAGGUCAGAGUCUUAAGAUGUUUUCCAGACUCUGGGGCUGAGUGGUGAUGUUUAGAAAGGAGACGGUGGAACUUGAGGGAAAUUAAGAUGAUUUUAACCAUAAGUGAGUUGACAGCUAGAUAUUUCCAAAGAAAUCUUAGACUACUUGAGACUUCAGUUUGGACACAAUAAUAUUAAAAGCAUCAACAUAGAAAUGGUUUGCAAAAGGUAUAGAACAGUGACUGUCAAAACCAGGGUUCCAUUGCACUCUGGGAUGCCUGGAGGUCCUCUCAAGGAUGUCAUCCAAAGUCCAGCAGUAUAGGGCAUGCAAGCAUGAUAACCCAGAGUUCAAAUAGGAAUCCAUAGUGCUAAAAACCUUCCAACCUGUUGUGAUCUUUCUGAGUUCUUUGCAACAAAAGAAUUGCUGUUAUUUUUUGGUAGUCAAAAAAGGAGUUAAAACUAAGAGCUGGCAUCUUCUAAGACAAUUGAUGACCACUGUUGUAGGAGAAUAGGAAAGAGCAGAGAACCUUGCCCCGUGAGAAAACCAGGAAGAACAAGGAGACCAAUCAUAGUCCAAGAGGAGGAUAGGAUUAUGAGAUGAUUAUGGCCAGUAGCAGUGAGAAGUGGCUUCUUCAAAGAGGAUGAGGCUGCAUUUCUGGUUCUGAGGGCAGAUGUUUGGGUGUGAUUUCAGUUAAGUUAAUGAUAGUCUGGAGUUUCUGUCCUUCAACUUCCCCUUCCUGUGACUGUAAGUAGAGUUUGAUGAACUUGGCAUGAGGGGGGACAGAGAGAUGGGGACCCCACCUAGAGUGCCAAGUAAGGUCCAGAGGGUGUGUAUGUUUUCAUUUUAUGUUUCAGACUAAACUGUAUUUAUAUUUGAGGGGGAAGGAGCUGGAGAAAAGGAAGGGAGGUAGGAUGGGGCUGGGAAAGGGCAGAAUUUUAUGCAGCUGCAGGGCAGGAAAGAGGAGGCGAAUUGCAUCUUCACUCUUGCACUACAUUCCAAGAAGUGAGACAGUCCAAAAAUUGUUAGGCAAGAAUUUCUUAAGAUGGUAUCUUUUAUUGGGCCAAUUAUGUAGUUGGGAUAGACAAGAUCUUGAAUUAGAGAGAGAGUUCUUAAACUAAAAGACAUGACCAUGAAACAGACUCAAAGGUACUGCCAAAUAUGUGAUGCCAGCCAUCUAACCUAAGAGUGAGACCUAACAAAGAGCGUCUUGCAUUUAAAAGCUUGUCUAACUAUGCCAACUACAAAACUGGUCCAAUAAAAAUAUCAUCCUAAGAAAUCCUUGCCUCUCUCCCUCAAAAGAAAUUCAUGAGAGGAUGCUUAAGUGAGUCAAAGGACAGCUACUAAACUUAAUCUGGAGAAACAAGGUGGCUCAGCUAGGAUGAUGGCAGAGCUUGAAAGUCAAGAAAACGAAUUUGUAAAUGAGUGAAGAAUUGCCUUUUUUGUCUAUAACGUUCGGAAGGCACUGUUGGACUUCAAUGCAAGUGCCUCUUCAAAUCCAACUUUACUUGUUAUCUCCCUUCUUCGUAAUGGAUGCUGGUUGAUGAACGCUUCCACUACAGACUUUCUCGACCUACCAUAUUCACUGCACUUCUGUGUGGGAUUUUGCAGUUCUUUUUUUAACACACACUUUCCACCCACCUUCCCUGUGCCACUUACAUUGGUUUAAUGGAGCUAACAUUCAAGUAUAUGUGCAACUUCAGCUGUAUUUCUUGCUCCUGUAAGCAGAGGGAGGUACCCGUUAAAGACUGAAGUGCUGAUUUAUGAGAAAAAUGCUUUUGGAAUAUAAGGACUACUGUAGCAGCACCCAGCUUACCCACAGUAAGUGUACUGAAACACUAGCAGGAUUUUACACAGAAACACACAAGACUUUUAAAUUGGAAUUGGCGUGAGGUUUUAGCUCAGUGUCUCCGUGCACAGAGGUUUUGCUUGUAUCCGCUAUGUUCAAUGCUAGAAUCCAAGUUCUUCCCUAGACAACAUUUGCCAAGAGGAACAUAACAGGUUACCAAUCUUGGUUUUUAAUUUCAGGAGGAGGGAGAAACCAGACCAUGCACUUGUGCUCUUGGUUCCAUGUUUUAGAUGCACAGAGGACAACCUGUAGCAGAAGUGACGGUCUGUCCUUCAAAGUCAUGCCCUGGUAUCAGUAGGACAAGCAACAAUGUUAGCUUUUCUGGGAUCUUUCCAGCACUGAAAUGACCUGGUUUGUUACAGCACCACUUCCUCCCUUCCACUUCAAAACUGUGUGCUUACAACUUCCUUUCAUUGUAUCUUGAUACUUACUCCUACACUGCAAGGCCUACCUGCUUAAAGUAGCCACCAAUUAUACUAGUGCUAUGCUUGCAGCAGUAAUUAAAGGACUGACAGGUAAAUUCGGUGCUUUCUAAUCAAGCCAACUGCUGAACAAUAUCAGCAAGAGAUACAGAAAGGGUGAAGGUUUGUGAUUUAUUAGACCUUAUCUUUUAUGAAGCAUCCAUCUGACUUUUAUUCUGCUAAGUUUCCCUCAGAAAAACAGCAGUAGUGAAUCUGUUACUGAGCACUUAUAUUUUAAUUUUUGUAUUUUGUUUAAUUAAGAUGUAUUCCUCCACUCCCAUGUGGGCUACUUGAACAGCAUUUUCCAUCUACCAGCAAAUCUGGGUAAUAAUUUUGUGUUAAUAAACUCUUCCCUGGAAA